AUGCUGCUGCUGCUCGCCACCUUCGCGACGCCGCUGACGUACGCCGCGGGCCUGGCGCCUCCGGGAGGCUUCUGGAGCGAGAGCGUGGCCGAGCACCACGCCGGCGCGCCGCUGCUGCACGACGGGCGCUACAAGAUCCGCUACCACGCAUUCUUCUACGGCAAUGCCAACUCCUUCGUCGCCUCCCUCGCCAUCAUCAUGCUGCUCAUGAGCAGGACGCUGAGCGACCACCUCACCCGGUACCACGCGCUGUUUGUGUGCGUCAUGGUGGAGCUGCUGGGCCUCAUGGCCGCCUACGCCGCCGGGAGCUGCAGGCGGCCCACCACGACUGUGUACGUCGUGUCCCUCGUCGGCGUCGUGCUCCUCUACAUUGUGCUGGUGCCGGUGUUCAGGGGAUGCCGGAUAUCUCGGAUAACCACUGAAAGGAGGACAACCCCCGUCCAUGAUGGGCAGGAAGAGAAGCUGGAGCAGUCGCGGUCGCUGGUUCUGCUGAUGGCCACGUUGGCGGCGACGGUGACUUACCAGGCAGGGCUGAGUCCGCCGGGCGGCGUCUGGCCGGAAGGUGAUCCGGAUCACACCGCGGGGAACCCGGUUCUCCAGGACAUGCACCCCACGAGGUACAAGGUGUUCUACCACUGCAACACGGCGGCGUUCGUGGCGUCGGUGGUCGUCAUCAUCAUCGUGCAGAGCAAGGAGCUGAGCGCCGCCGGGCGCUUCGCGCUCAACACGGUCAUGAUACUGGACCUGUUCGGCCUUAUGGGCGCCUACGUCGCCGGGAGCUGCCGGGAUAACACCACCACCAUCUACGUGUCCGCCCUGGCCGUCACCGUCUUUGUCUACAUCAUCACCAAAGUCGUGGCGUUCGCGGUUGGAGGCAAGGAGAGCGCGCCCACACGGUGGUUGCGAAGAAUGUGGGGUAAUGUUGUACACGCGUUGCUCCAUCUGUCGUGGCGGCAAGGAGGAGAACCAACUCAUUCUCCGGCCUCCGAGUCCGAGAGGAAGCGUAUUGAAGAAAAAGCGCUCGAGAGGAGGCGUAAGUUCUUGCUGCAGCUCGCCAUCCUGGCCGCCACCGUCACCUACCAGACCGGACUAAACCCUCCCGGCGGGUUCUGGCCAGAGACAGAGAGCAAGGGCGAAAGAUCGCUAAUCGCCGGCGACCCGGUUCUCCUCGACCACUACGGGAGCAGGUAUGAGGUGUUCUUCUACUGCAACGCGACGGGCUUCAUGGUGUCCCUCGCCGUCAUUCUCAUCCUGAUGAACCCGAAACUAUACAAGAAGAGCAUCCAGAGCAACGCUCUCCACGUCUGCAUCAUCGUCGGGCUGCUCGGCCUCAUGGGUGCCUACGCUGCCGGUAGCUGCCGGCUGCUGCGCACCUCAAUCUAUGUCUUCGCGCUCGUGGCCGCGGUGGUCGCGUUCCUCGUCCUGCAGAUCCUGUUUUACCUGUACGCCGACUCCCCACAUUUGUCACAGAGGAUAUGCCUGAAGGGGCUGCUCGAGCAGCUGUCGCCGUCGUCGGCACCGACGGGGGCGGGCGGCGAGGACGAAGGCGACUGGCGUCAACAAGAACGAUACCAACUGCGCAAGUCCCUGAUGCUGCUCGGCAUCCUCGCGGCGAGCGUGACCUACCAGGCGGGUCUCGCGCCUCCCGGCGGCACGUGGGGCGACGAUGAUAUGGCGUCCUCCCCGUUGCCGUCGCCGUCGCUUUCACCACCGCCGUCGGCUGCAUACCUGUCCCAUGCCGGCAACCCGAUCCUACUCGACACCAACCCGCAACGGUACCAGGCCUUCUUCUACUGCAACGCGACAUCGUUCGUGGCCUCCAUCGUGGUCAUCAUGCUGGCACUGCAAUACACCCUCAACGAGCGCUUCGCUCCGCCGUGGGCGAUGCAUAGCCUGCAGACCGUCAUGGUGCUUGACCUGCUCGGCCUGCUGGGUGCCUACGCCGCCGGCAGCUGCAGGGACUGGGAGACGUCUGCGUACGUCAUCGCACUCGUGGCCGCAGUGGUCGCCUUCAUCACGAUCUACAUCCUGCUGUCAUUCGACGAAGUGCGAGGGAAGGCCGAGGAGCUCACGGUGUGGAAGUACUUUUCUGGAAAGAAGGAAAAGGUGUUAAAUUGCUUGGGAGCAAGCAAUGAUGAUGAUGAUCAAUCAGCCGCAACCGUAACGGUCACCCGUGUGUAA
rnacentral:rRNA from 1 species